rnacentral:tRNA from 1 species
AGUUAUUUAGUUUAUAUAAAACAGAUAUUUUGAAAAUAUCAAAUAAGAAAAAUUCUUAGUAACUG